AUACUAAAUGAUGAUUGCAAUUACCGCCCCAGUCUGAACACUGUGACUGAUUGGUGAUUCUGAUUCC